CUAUAUGGCCAUACCACCCUGAAUAGCCCAAUAUCAUGUGAUCUUGGAAAGUAAACAGGAUUGGGCCUGGCUAGCACUGAAUGGG
rnacentral:rRNA from 1 species